rnacentral:tRNA from 1 species
GGCAUGGCCUAGUGGUUUGAGUGUUGGCCUACAGCUCUGGAGACCAGGGUUUGAUUCCCAGUUCAGCCA